rnacentral:rRNA from 1 species
UACGGGGGGGGUAAGCGUUGUCCGGAAUUAUUGGGCGUAAAGAGCUCGUAGGCGGUUUGUCGCGUCUGCUGUGAAAUCCCGAGGCUCAACCUCGGGUCUGCAGUGGGUACGGGCAGGCUAGAGUGCGGUAGGGGAGAAUGGAACUCCUGGUGUAGCGGUGGAAUGCGCAGAUAUCAGGAAGAACACCGAUGGCGAAGGCAGUUCUCUGGGCCGUAACUGACGCUGAGGAGCGAAAGCGUGGGGAGCGAACAGG